rnacentral:rRNA from 1 species
AACGAACGCUGGCGGCAUGCCUAACACAUGCAAGUCGAACGAACCCUUCGGGGUUAGUGGCGCACGGGUGCGUAACGCGUGGGAAUCUGCCCUUGGCUUCGGAAUAACAGUUAGAAAUGACUGCUAAUACCGGAUGAUGUCGCAAGACCAAAGAUUUAUCGGCCAGGGAUGAGCCCGCGUAGGAUUAGGUAGUUGGUGGGGUAAAGGCCUACCAAGCCGACGAUCCUUAGCUGGUCUGAGAGGAUGAUCAGCCACACUGGGACUGAGACACGGCCCAGACUCCUACGGGAGGCAGCAGUGGGGAAUAUUGGACAAUGGGGGCAACCCUGAUCCAGCAAUGCCGCGUGAGUGAUGAAGGCCUUAGGGUUGUAAAGCUCUUUUACCCGGGAUGAUAAUGACAGUACCGGGAGAAUAAGCUCCGGCUAACUCCGUGCCAGCAGCCGCGGUAAAAC